rnacentral:rRNA from 1 species
UACGUAGGGUGCAAGCGUUGUCCGGAAUUAUUGGGCGUAAAGAGCUCGUAGGCGGUCUGUCGCGUCGGCUGUGAAAACCCGGGGCUCAACCCCGGGCCUGCAGUCGAUACGGGCAGACUAGAGUGCGGUAGGGGAGACUGGAAUUCCUGGUGUAGCGGUGAAAUGCGCAGAUAUCAGGAGGAACACCGGUGGCGAAGGCGGGAUCCUGGGCCAGUACUGACGCUGAGGAGCGAAAGCGUGGGGAGCAACAGG